rnacentral:rRNA from 1 species
UACAGAGGGUGCAAACGUUGUUCGGAAUUACUGGGCGUAAAGCGCGUGUAGGCAGCUCGGAAAGUCGGAUGUGAAAGCCCUGGGCUCAACCUAGGAAGUGCAUUCGAAACUUCCGAGCUGGAGUGCUGGAGAGGAAGGCGGAAUUCUCGGUGUAGAGGUGAAAUUCGUAGAUAUCGAGAGGAACACCGGUGGCGAAGGCGGCCUUCUGGACAGUCACUGACGCUGAGACGCGAAAGCGUGGGGAGCAAACAGG